UCCUCGGUGGCUCAGUCAGACAGAGCGUCUGCCAUGCAUGCAGGAGGUCCCGGGUUCGAGUCCCGGUUGAGGCA